UGAGCAAUCUGCCCUUCUCAUCGGAAUAAGCGUUGGAAACGACGUCUAAUGCCGAAUACGACCUCCUUUCGCAUGAUCGGAGGUGGAAAGCUCCGGCGGAGAAGGAUGAGCUCGCGGCCUAUCAGCUAGUUGGUGUGGGUAAUGGCCCACCAAGGCGACGACGGGUAGCCGGCCUGGAGAGGGUGACCGGCCACACUGGGACUGAGACACCGGCCCAGACCUCCGUACGGGAANCAG
rnacentral:rRNA from 1 species